rnacentral:tRNA from 1 species
UAGGCUUUAUUUUAUAUAGAAUAGCUAGUUGUUACCUAGCAGGUGUAAAUUAUUUACAAGUUUAU